rnacentral:rRNA from 1 species
CCUACGGGAGGCAGCAGUAGGGAAUAUUGCUCAAUGGGGGAAACCCUGAAGCAGCAACGCCGCGUGAAGGAUGAAGGUUUUCGGAUUGUAAACUUCUUUUGUUAGAGAAGAUAAUGACGGUAUCUAACGAAUAAGCCCCGGCUAACUCCGUGCCAGCAGCCGCGGUAAUACGGAGGGUGCAAGCGUUACUCGGAUUCCCUGGGCGUAAAGAGCGCGUAGGCGGGUGAGCAAGUCAGAUGUGAAAUCCUGUGGCUUAACCAUAGAACUGCAUUUGAAACUGGUAGUCUAGAGUAUUGGAGAGGUAGGUGGAAUUCUUGGUGUAGGGGUGAAAUGCGUAGAGAUCAAGAAGAAUACUCAUUGCGAAGGCGGCCUGCUAGAACAUAACUGACGUUGAUGCGCGAAAGCGUGGGGAGCAAACAGGAUUAGAUACCCGGGUAGUC